GGCAAAUGGAAAUAUUGCAAGGCACUUCAGAACAAGAAUUUUCAUCAUUAAUUUUCCUUGAAGCAACUAGGAAAUUAAGUUACAGCAUUGAAAGUUCAUAAAAGUCUCCCUGAUACCAAAUGCACUGUACUAGAAAGAAUUCCAGCACCUUAAGUUUUUGUUGGAGGAACUGAUUUUACAACUCAACUGCUAUCAUCCACAACUUCAUUGCUUACAAAUAGAUUCUCUCUUCUUUUAGGAAAACCUGUAGACUCCAGGGUUGGACCCCUAUAUUUUAGCUCCGACGAAGUUUUAUAAUUAGGAUCAACAGAAGUAGAUCUGGAGGUGGUAUCAGCAGAGCUCGGCGUAAAGGAGGUGGUUGUUCCCCCGGGAUAUCGUGAAGGUGAAACAUACCUCCUUGAUGGACCUCUCAAACCACCCGCCCUUAAGUCCACUAGUUCAUCUCUUCUUGAAGAAGAAUCAACAAUUGAUCGGUCCCCAGAGCUAGAUCCUAAUGGAGCUCCAGUUGGUGUGGAGCUAAAAGGAUAAUCCGGUCCCCAUGACGUAAGUGCAUCCUUCUUCUUAGCAAAGAAUUGCCAUGCUCCAAAUAAAAAGACUAUGAAGAACAACACCGGGCUUGUCCAUAGCAUUGUAUUGAAUUCUCCUUUAAAUACUGGAAGAUUAGAGCGAUACAUUCCCACAUACCCACCCCCAAGGCCAAGAACAACAAGUUUUUCUCGGUUACUGGCUAUUAAGGGUAUCACCCUUCUCCACUCUACAUGUGCAUCCACCACUUGAUAAUUUAGAAACAAUGACCUAAUCUCAUCCAAACCAGCAGAGAACAGAAGCCGAGGUCCACUAACCCUAACAUAGUGUUGAGUCGAAACAUUAUAUGCAAAAACCUUCUCCUCAUUGACAAGAAGCAAAUAACCCUUAAUGGCUUGCAUUGCAAUGGGUCCAUCUAUGUCAAACUUUCUUUUGGAUCUGACCCUGCAUUUGAAAUUCAUUAUAUCUCCUAACAACAAUACAUGAAUCAAAUCACCCUCCGAUGUAAAUCCAUAAGCUUUGGACCGUUCUGUAGCAUCAAAAACAUAAUCCCGAACAAGAGUAUGAUUCAAUCCUUCACAUUCUGAUUCCCUGACUUUCAUGCUCCUUAAAUCCAAUGACCCAGCACCAUUCUCCGUCAAAAACAAAAGCCUUUGCUUCAAGAAUGCAAGUGGCCUACUUGUCAGUAUAGCAGAACCAUGUACAGUCCCAUUUUCUCUUAAAACGCGAAUCUUCCCACCAGCAUCCGAUGACAAUAUAUACCUCGAUCUCCCAACAUGAUGCACUUCCAAAAUAGUUAUCGCUAAACCUUCUUCCGAAUGAUCAGUAGGAAUAAACUUACCGACAUUUUCCAUAGACAAUGAGCCCCAUUCCUCUCCAUUUAGACCUUCAAGAACCUUGUGCACCAAAAUCACACCAUUUUGAUGUCCUGUUACCACAAUACUCUCAUUCUUAUAAACUGAUAAGUAUGAAACCAUUGCAGUAACAGGCGAAUCACACACUGUGUAAAGCUCAAUCAAAACAUCCCCAUUCCUUGAGAACACAUAAACCCUGCCUUGAUCAUCCCCAACAGCAACAUACUUACUAAGACCCUCGUAAUCUCGAAAUGGCAAAACAUUAAUACAAGUUGUGUCUGAAUCUAAUUUCACUGCGGACACAAACUGAAACCUCUCUGACCAAAAUGGACUGUAUUUUGUAACUGAUACUGCUCUUGCCCUCUCCUCAUCUCGAGUUUUUCCCUUGAUACCCAUACCCUCUUCUUGGACUUUAAUAACCGAUCUUUUACUAUCGGAUUUUAUCUGAUUAACCCUAUCUUGUUCCCGAUUUUGAUGAGUACCCUUUAAAGAUACAUCUACUUUGGCAGACUCCGAUAAUUUUGUUUCUAAUCUAGCAACUACUUCACUGAGGUUCCUCACUAAUUCUUCAAGUUUAUGUAAUAAAACUUGUUGCUGGUAGGAUUGAGAGGUAGUUUCAGUCUCAGGUUCAUGGUCAGGAGAGUGGUGAUCGUCAGGGACCGAGCUAGAGCAGCUCCCCGAAAUUGCAGCUAAAAUGAAAAGCAGAGAGAGAAAAGAAAGCAACUUGCCUUUGCGGGUGUUUGCCAUUGGAGAAGCUUGGGUCAGUGUGUUGUUGUUGUUGCCAUAUAUUUUGUACAAGCAAGGGUGCAAUUGCAGAUCUUUGGCGUUUCGAUCCAAAGAAUGGAGAGAAUUUAGCUGGAAUCUAUGUUAGACUUGACUAGUCCGACGGAAGAGAAAUAGGGAUUUUGUAUCACAAGAAAGAAGAAGCGUCUUCUUUCACCUUUUUUUGAGCCUACUGACACGCCUCUGCACGGUAAUGUAUGUUAGGGCAAGAAAACUUGAAAAUUUU
rnacentral:misc_RNA from 1 species